CCUAGCAAUACCACCACAAUCACUAUGAAAACCACCAUCAACUCAUUACCUCACAAUCUAAUUUACAAAAUCACCCAACAUCACAAUCAAAAUCCGGUCACAAGAUCACAGAUCACCCAAACACUAACAUCACAAUUGAAAUCCAAUUCACAAAAUUACACAACAUUACUAUCAAAAUCAGGUCACAAGAUCACAAAUCACCCAAACACCCAACAUAGAAGUAUAUAACGAAAACCAUAACUCGUAGAAGUACAUGAACAACCUAACUGUAUAGGUCAUCUUCAUUAGCCAUAUGGGCAAAAGAAACAAAGGGUAAAAUCCAGUAGCACCGGUACUCGUUUCAGCAAAUCGAAAUUUAGUCCCAAGCCCUCUCGACUGCUGCAGCGUCUUUGUAAAUGCUUGGUACUUGCGAACGUCAACAUAACCGACACUCCUCUGUGUAUACUUCAUUGAUUCUUCAAAACUAGAAGGUUUAAUCUCAGUCACUUCAUCUUCUCUGCUGACCUUCUCGGCUACAACGCACUUUCAAGACGACAUCGUCGCUCACGAUGUGUCGCAACGAUGACAUAAUCAUCGUCGCAGCAGUGCGCCUACAACAGUCUCCAUAUAUAUAUAUAUAUAUAAGAGCAGGUUGAAAAGUUGAUUAAACGUAUCUACGACACGACUGUCAAAUCUUAGACGUACAACGACAUUUGUAGAAGAUACAUUAUCAUGGAAAGACUGAUCACUUCGAAAAUUUAUAGCAGCCAAGCAAUGCAUCUCGCCUCAAAAAUGACGUUUCUGAUAAUGUUUCAUCUCUUCAGACGAGGCGCCUCAAUCGCUUUCAACUAGCUGUUUAAUCCUUUGGAGAGCUUGGAUUUGGAAGGGACAAG
rnacentral:lncRNA from 1 species